rnacentral:rRNA from 1 species
UACCAGCACCCCGAGUGGUCGGGACGAUUAUUGGGCCUAAAGCAUCCGUAGCCGGUUUUACAAGUCCUCCGUUAAAUCCAACUGCUUAACAGAUGGGCUGCGGAGGAUACUAUAAGACUAGGAGGCAGGAGAGGCAAGCGGUACUCAGUGGGUAGGGGUAAAAUCCGUUGAUCCAUUGAAGACCACCAGUGGCGAAGGCGGCUUGCCAGAAUGCGCUCGACGGUGAGGGAUGAAAGCUGGGGAGCAAACCGGG